GAGGACCUGCGGCGUCAGCACCAGCGAGAGGUGGAGCGCCUGAAGGAGGAGAGGGACCAGCUCCUGCAGGAGGAGACCAACGCCACCAUAGCAGCUAUUGAGGCGAUGAGGAAGGCUCACGUGGCUGAGCUGGAGAAGACCCAGAGGAGCCAGCGCAGCAAAGCCAACGCAGACAGCCGCUCGCCGCACUCUCACUAUGAUGAGGAGCUGGAUUCUCUACACAGAGAGCUGGAGGUGUUAUCAGAGCAGUACUCUCACAAGUGCCUAGAGAACAGACAGCUGAGCCGCGCCAUAGAGGCCGAGAGACAGGCGCUGAGCAUCAGCC